AUUGUAGUUGAAGAAGCUCCUGUUGAGGACACAACUGCUUCUUUUCAAACUGUUAUGAGUGUCGUGCAAGAUCCUCCAGCUGCUGCUCUGGAGGAACCUGUAGAAGAACCUCCAAAGAAAACUUAUGCUUCUAUAUUAAGAUUUGCUAAGGGGCAGUCAUCAGCUGCUACUCAGCCAUCUGUUAACAGGAGUGCCCCAACUACAUCUAAUUGGAAUCAUGUACCACCACCCACUGCUCAGCUNCAGAAUCUGGAUUGUCUUAUGUGGCUGAAUCUGGAUUUGAAGCCACUGAGGAAGGAUUGGGGCUAGAUGAAGGUGAACCAAAAUCUGUCUAUGUGAGAAACUUGCCUUCCAAUGUUACUGCUGCGGAAGUUGAGCAGGAAUUUAAGAAUUUUGGCAGAAUCAAGCGUGAUGGUGUGUUCAUCCGGAAUCGAAAGGAUGUGGUUGGUGUAUGCUAUGCUUUCAUCGAGUUUGAAGACCUUGCCAGUGUUCAAAAUGCGAUCAAGGCAUCACCAAUACUGCUGGCUGGAAGGCAAGUCUACAUUGAGGAGCGAAGACCAAACAGUGGCAUUGCUUCUCGAGGAGGAAGAAGGGGAAGAGGCAGAGUCGGUUACCAAAUUGAUGCACCAAGGGGGCGUUUUGGCGCUCGUAGUUCGGGCAGGGGGA
rnacentral:misc_RNA from 1 species